rnacentral:pre_miRNA from 1 species
AGCCUGCCGAUGGGUGUCUUACCAGACACGGUUAGAUCUGCUCCUUCUGUCUAAUACUGUCUGGUAAUGCCGUCCAUCCAUGGC